UACAGAGGUCCCGAGCGUUGUUCGGAUUCAUUGGGCGUAAAGGGUGCGUAGGCGGUUUGCUAAGUUUGAUGUGAAAUUCCGGGGCUCAACCCUGGCAUGGCAUUGAAUACUGGCGGACUAGAGUACUGGAGAGGAAACUGGAAUUUACGGUGUAGCAGUGAAAUGCGUAGAGAUCGUAAGGAAGACCAGUGGCGAAGGCGAGUUUCUGGACAGUAACUGACGCUGAGGCGCGAAAGCGUGGGGAGCAAACAGG
rnacentral:rRNA from 1 species